rnacentral:tRNA from 1 species
GGCUCCAUAGCUCAGUGGAUAGAGCGCUGGUCUUCGGAACCAGAGGUUGCGAGUUCGAUCCUCACUGGAGCCU